GACGAACGCUGGCGGCGUGCUUAACACAUGCAAGUCGAACGGAAAGGCCCUGCUUUUGUGGGGUGCUCGAGUGGCGAAGGGGUGAGUAACACGUGAGUAACCUGCCCUUGACUUUGGGAUAACUUCAGGAAACUGGGGCUAAUACCGGAUAGGAGCUCCUGCUGCAUGGUGGGGGUUGGAAAGUUUCGGCGGUUGGGGAUGGACUCGCGGCUUAUCAGCUUGUUGGUGGGGUAGUGGCUUACCAAGGCUUUGCCGGGUAGCCGGCCUGAGAGGGGGACCGGCCCAAUUGGGACUGAGAUACGGCCCAGACUCCUACGGGAGGCAGCAGUGGGGAAUAGUGCACAAUGGGCGGAAGCCUGAUGCAGCAACGCCGCGUGCGGGAUGACGGCCUUCGGGUUGUAAACCGCUUUCGCCUGUGACGAAGCGUGAGUGACGGUAAUGGGUAAAGAAGCACCGGCUAACUACGUG
rnacentral:rRNA from 1 species